rnacentral:rRNA from 1 species
UGGGGAAUUUUGCGCAAUGGGCGAAAGCCUGACGCAGCAACGCCGCGUGUGUGAUGAAGGUCUUCGGAUCGUAAAGCACUUUCGACCGGGACGAACAAUCGUUGGCUAACAUCCAACGGCCUGACUGUACCGGGAGAAGAAGCACCGGCUAACUCUGUGCCAGCAGCCGCGGUAAUACAGAGGGUGCAAGCGUUGUUCGGAAUUAUUGGGCGUAAAGCGCGUGUAGGCGGCUUGGCAAGUCGGGUGUGAAAGCCCUCAGCUUAACUGAGGAAGUGCGCCCGAAACUGCUUUGCUUGAGUACCGGAGAGGAUGGCGGAAUUCCCCAAGUAGAGGUGAAAUUCGUAGAUAUGGGGAGGAACACCGGUGGCGAAGGCGGCCAUCUGGACGGAUACUGACGCUGAGACGCGAAAGCGUGGGUAGCAAACAG